rnacentral:rRNA from 1 species
GUAGGGAAUAUUGGGCAAUGGUCGGAAGACUGACCCAGCCAUGCCGCGUGCAGGAAGACGGCCCUCUGGGUUGUAAACUGCUUUUAUCUGGGAAGAAAAAGGCCAUGCGUGGCAAAUUGCCGGUACCAGAUGAAUAAGCACCGGCUAACUCCGUGCCAGCAGCCGCGGUAAUACGGAGGGUGCGAGCGUUGUCCGGAUUUAUUGGGUUUAAAGGGUGCGUAGGCGGCUGAUUAAGUCAGCGGUGAAAGACUUCGGCUUAACCGGAGCAGUGCCGUUGAUACUGGUUUGCUUGAGUGUCGGAGGGGUACAUGGAAUUGAUGGUGUAGCGGUGAAAUGCAUAGAUACCAUCAGGAACACCGAUAGCGAAGGCAUUGUACUGGCCGACAACUGACGCUGAUGCACGAAAGUGUGGGGAUCGAACAGGAUUAGAAACCCGGGUAGUCC